CCCAUCAGGGCUCAGGGAUUGGACGGGGAUAGAUCUCACCCUCCCUUCUUCCUGGGCCCUCAG
rnacentral:miRNA from 1 species